rnacentral:rRNA from 1 species
CUACGGGAUGCUGCAGUGAGGAAUUUUGCGCAAUGGGGGGAACCCUGACGCAGCAACGCCGCGUGAGUGAUGAAGGCUUUCGGGUCGUAAAGCUCUGUCAAGUGGGAAGAACCUAUGCAGUGUUAAUAUCACUGUAUACUGACGGUACCACUGAAGGAAGCACCGGCUAACUCCGUGCCAGCAGCCGGGUAAUACGGGGGGGUGCAAGCGUUAUUCGGAAUCAUUGGGCGUAAAGGGCACGUAGGCGGCUUGGUAAGUCAGAUGUGAAAGCCCGGGGCUUAACCCCGGAAGUGCAUUUGAUACUGUCAGGCUUGAGUAUGGGAGAGGGAAGUGGAAUUCCUGGUGUAGAGGUGAAAUUCGUAGAUAUCAGGAGGAACACCGGUGGCGAAGGCGACUUCCUGGACCAAUACUGACGCUGAGGUGCGAAGGCGUGGGUAGCAAACAGGAUUAGAUACCCCGGUAGUC